rnacentral:rRNA from 1 species
ACUCGACUGCAUGAAGUUGGAAUCGCUAGUAAUCGCGGAUCAGCCAUGCCGCGGUGAAUACGUUCCCGGGUCUUGUACACACCGCCCGUCAAACCAUGGGAGUGGGUUGCACCCGAAGACGCGUAGUCUCGCCAAUGGGACGCGCGUUUAAGGUGUGGCUCAUGACUGGGGUUAAGUCGUAACAAGGUAACUGUACCGGAAGGUGCGGUUGGAUCACCUCCUUUCUAAGGAG